AUUGAACGCUGGCGGCAGGCCUAACACAUGCAAGUCGAGCGAGCGGCGGACGGGUGAGUAAUGUAUGGGGACUGCCCGAUAGAGGGGGAUAACUACUGGAAACGGUAGCUAAUACCGCAUACUAUCGGAUAACCCAUAUGGGAUUAGCUAGUAGGUGAGGUAAUGGCUCACCUAGGCGACGAUCCCUAGCUGGUCUGAGAGGAUGAUCAGCCGCGCUGGGACUGGGAUACGGCUCAGACGCCGACGGAGGCAGCAGUGGGGAAUAUUGCACAAUGGGCGCAAGCCUGAUGCAGCCAUCCCGGGUGUAUGAUGAAGGCCUUCGGGUUGUAAAGUACUUUUGGCAGAGAAGCGGUAUCUGCAGAAUAAGCACCGGCUAACUACGUGCCAGCAGCCGCGGUAUAC
rnacentral:rRNA from 1 species